CAACAGGGAUUGCCCCAGUAACGGCGAGUGAAGCGGCAACAGCUCAAAUUUGAAAUCUGGCUCUCGGGCCCGAGUUGUAAUUUGUAGAGGAUGCUUUUGGUGAGGUGCCUUCCGAGUUCCCUGGAACGGGACGCCAUAGAGGGUGAGAGCCCCGUCUGGUUGGACACCGAUCCUCUGUAAAGCUCCUUCGACGAGUCGAGUAGUUUGGGAAUGCUGCUCUAAAUGGGAGGUAUAUGUCUUCUAAAGCUAAAUACCGGCCAGAGACCGAUAGCGCACAAGUAGAGUGAUCGAAAGAUGAAAAGAACUUUGAAAAGAGAGUUAAAAAGUACGUGAAAUUGUUGAAAGGGAAGCGCUUGUGACCAGACUUGGGCUUGGUUGAUCAUCCGGGGUUCUCCCCGGUGCACUCUUCCGGCUCAGGCCAGCAUCAGUUCGCCCUGGGGGACAAAGGCUUCGGGAAUGUGGCUCUCUCCGGGGAGUGUUAU
rnacentral:rRNA from 1 species